rnacentral:pre_miRNA from 1 species
GUAGUACUCCCUCUGUUCGGAAUUACUUGUCUCGGAUAUGGAUGUAUCUAGAACUAAAAUACAUCUAGAUACAUCCAUUUCUAUGACAAGUAAUUCCGAAAGGAGGGAGUAGUAC